ACUCCUACGGGAGGCAGCAGUGGGGAAUUUUGGACAAUGGGCGCAAGCCUGAUCCAGCAAUGCCGCGUGUGUGAAGAAGGCCUUCGGGUUGUAAACUGCUUUUGUCAGGGAAGAAAUCCUGUGGGUUAAUACCUCGUGGGGAUGACGGUACCUGAAGAAUAAGCACCGGCUAACUACGUGCCAGCAGCCGCGGUAAUACGUAGGGUGCGAGCGUUAAUCGGAAUUACUGGGCGUAAAGCGUGCGCAGGCGGUUUUGUAAGACAGAGGUGAAAUCCCCGGGCUCAACCUGGGAACUGCCUUUGUGACUGCAAGGCUGGAGUACGGCAGAGGGGGAUGGAAUUCCGCGUGUAGCAGUGAAAUGCGUAGAUAUGCGGAGGAACACCGAUGGCGAAGGCAAUCCCCUGGGCCUGUACUGACGCUCAUGCACGAAAGCGUGGGGAGCAAACAGGAUUAGAUACCCUGGUAGUCCACGCCCUAAACGAUGUCAACUGGUUGUUGGACGGCUUGCUGUUCAGUAACGAAGCUAACGCGUGAAGUUGACCGCCUGGGGAGUACGGCCGCAAGGUUGAAACUCAAAUGAAUUGACGG
rnacentral:rRNA from 1 species